rnacentral:rRNA from 1 species
GAUGAACGCUGGCGGCGUGCCUAAUACAUGCAAGUCGAGCGAACAGACGCGGAGCUUGCUCCUCUGACGUUAGCGGCGGACGGGUGAGUAACACGUGGAUCACCUACCUGUCAGACUGGGAUAACUUCGGGACACCGGCGCUAAUACCGGAUAAUCUCUUGCACCGCGUGGUUCAAUAGUGAAAGUCGGUUUUGCUGUCACUUAUAGCUGCAUCCGCGCCGCAUUAGGUGGUUGGUACGUUCACAGCUUAUCAAGGCAACGAUGCGUAGCCGACCUGAGAGGGGGGUAGGCCACACUGGAACGGAGCCGCGGUCCAGGCGACUACGGGAGGCAGCAGAAGGGAAUCGGACGCAACGGGCGAAAGCCUGACGGAGCAGGGCCGCGUGAGUGAUGAAGGUCUUGGGUGCGUAAAGCUCGGUUACUAGUUAAAAACAAAUGUGUAAGUAAAUAUGCACGGCGUGACGGUAAUGAGUCAGAAAGCAACGGCUAACUACGUG